GAUGAACGCUGGCGGCGUGCCUAAUACAUGCAAGUCGAGCGAACGGACGAGAAGCUUGCUGCGCUGAUGUUAGCGGCGGACGGGUGAGUAACACGUGUAUAACCUACCUAUAAGACUGGUAUAACUUCGGGAAACCGUAGCUAAUACCGGAUAAUAUUUUGAACCGCAUGGUUCAAUAGUGAAAUACGGUCUUGCUGGCACUUAUAGAGGGAUCCGCGCUGCAUUAGAUAGUUGUGAAGUUAACGGCCUACCAAGGCAACGAUGCAUAGCCGACGUCAGAGGGUGAUAGGCCACCCUGGAACUGGGACAGGGUCAAGAGUCCUACGGGAGGCAGCAGUAGGGAAUCUUCCGCAAUGGGCGAAAGCAUGACGGAGUAACGCGGCGUGAGUGACGACGGCCUUGGGUUCGUAAAACUCUGUUACUAGGGAAGAACCUCUGUGUACGUAAAUGAGCCCAUCUUGACGGUAACUAAUAAGAAAGCAACGGCUAACUACGUG
rnacentral:rRNA from 1 species